rnacentral:rRNA from 1 species
AGAAUAUUGGGCAAUGGGCGAAAGCCUGACCCAGCAACGCCGCGUGCGCGAUGCAGGCCUUCGGGUUGUAACGCGCUUUUCUGGGGGAAGAGCAAGGACGGUACCCCAGGAAUAAGGUUCGGCUAACUACGUGCCAGCAGCCGCGGUAAAACGUCGGAACCGAGCGUUAUCCGAAUUUACUGGGCGUAAAGAGCGUGUAGGUGGUUCGAUAAGUUGGGUGUGAAAGCUCCUGGCUCAACUAGGAGAUGCCGCUCAAAACUGUCGGGCUAGAGAACGGUAGAGGGAGGUGGAAUUCCCGGUGUAGUGGUGAAAUGCGUAGAUAUCGGGAGGAACACCAGUGGCGAAGGCGGCCUCCUGGACCGUUUCUGACACUGAGACGCGAAAGCUAGGGGAGCGAAC